rnacentral:rRNA from 1 species
UGAGGAAUAUUGGUCAAUGGGCGCGAGCCUGAACCAGCCAAGUCGCGUGAGGGAUGAAGGUUCUAUGGAUCGUAAACCUCUUUUAUAAGGGAAUAAAGUGCGGGACGUGUCCCGUUUUGUAUGUACCUUAUGAAUAAGGAUCGGCUAACUCCGUGCCAGCAGCCGCGGUAAUACGGAGGAUCCGAGCGUUAUCCGGAUUUAUUGGGUUUAAAGGGUGCGUAGGCGGCCUUUUAAGUCAGCGGUGAAAGUCUGUGGCUCAACCAUAGAAUUGCCGUUGAAACUGGGGGGCUUGAGUAUGUUUGAGGCAGGCGGAAUGCGUGGUGUAGCGGUGAAAUGCUUAGAUAUCACGCAGAACCCCGAUUGCGAAGGCAGCCUGCCAAGCCAUGACUGACGCUGAUGCACGAAAGCGUGGGGAUCAAACAGG